rnacentral:misc_RNA from 1 species
AAACCAUCAAGCGCAGCUUGGCAUUGGACCCGGGUCUCGUUAUCACCCGGUCUAAAACCCCGCAUGGCGUUCCCGUUGAGCCUCAAGCGUAGCAAGAAUUACUCACUCGCUUCAGGGCUUCUGGCGGGCGCUGCCACGAAACCGCACCCAAA